UCGGAGUCCGAGUCGGGUAGAAGUUGGUGGAGUCGAGAGUUGUAGUCGGGUAAUCCGGUAAGUAGUUCCGCCUUUAGUCUUUAUUCUUUUUAGAAUAUUUUUUCUAAAUUUUGUUUUCGGUCCGACGCUUAGAUCCAUCGUUAGUACGCGUUGGAGAUAGCUCGGUCGGAUCAAAAUUAUUAGGCGGUCAAGGGUAGAGUUUUAUUCUCUCGACAAUAAGGCCAAGGUGAGUUCCGUAGCGAGUGUAGUAGCACACGACUAGGUUUUAUUUUUGGGUUUAUGAUGGUUAGGCAUGAGGUUGCAUUUUUAUACUUAGUAUAAAUUAUGUAUAAAUUAUGGUUAGCUGGUUAUAUGUUUUGACGUAUAAUUGGGUUGAUUAUUUUAGAUAGAUCUCGCAUUCUUGCUUGAUUUAUUUCUGGUAGUUGCAUGAUGUUGAAUAUUGUUUGGGUGUUGGUAAUUUUUAUUACGAAUUUAAAUUAUUAGCAAGCAUGUUAGGUUGUUUGAUUGUUGAAUGAUUGAUUGUUGAAUGAUUGAUUGUUGUUAGUUAAUCUUGCAUUAGCUCGAUUAACAUAUGUGUAGUAGGUGCUUGCUAGUAGAUCUUAUUACGAGUAGUAUUGAGGUUUAAUCCGCUCGUAGUAAGUAGUUAUUGUUACUCAUUUUUCUUAUGACUAUAGUAUGGAAUUGUCUUGAUUGUCCCAAUAGCUCGGAAUGGCUCGCUACCACCCGAGGCUGCCUAACGAGGUAGUAAAAAUUUGACCGUAAGAGAUGUGAUCUCUUAUAAACGGUUUGGUUUGGAGAAGGGAUGUUUGAUCCUUCUAGCCUUUGUGGCUAAAGGUCGGAGAAACGUUGCCCAGUGGGCGAUCAACAUCGUAUAUGGCCCGUAGAAUGAGGAGUCGUUAGCAUGCUAGUUGUAGUUUUAGUAGUAGUUCCGCUGCAUGUACUCUGUAUUGAGUACUUUUGUUUGUAUACACUUUUCUAAGUGUAUUUGUGUGAUUUCUUGUCGAGUAUACUCGUGUGUUGCAUUGAUUGCUUGUUUGGGGUUGGGAUUGGGAUUAUUAUUAUUUGUUAGAAAACCGGACUCACUGAGUAAUCUUAGAUUACUCAUGAUUCAACCUUUUGUUUUACAGGUAACCUUAGUUGGGAGACCAAAAAGGGGAGCACGGACGUUGGGAACCGGUGUAGAGUUUGUUGUCUUUGUAAAAUAGGGAUUUGUAAUAAUUGACUCGAUUUGAGCCUUAGGCUCGAGAUCCCAAUCAAUUGUAAGUGUUUUCAAUGUUUUAUUGAAUAAAAUGAGAUUUCUUUAAAA
rnacentral:lncRNA from 1 species